AGUGGCUGCCAGUGUCUUGCGGUGGAUCACUGUCUUGGAAGUGGAGGGACACCGCUGUCAUCUUGUCAGACAGUCGAGAGCGGACAGGCCUGAGUAAUGGCACCGCAAUGUAUGCUGGGAGCAGAAGUCCCAUUUCGGUGAAUGGAGAGCAGUUCGGACACAUCCUGCCGUCUUCUUCACCUACCGACUCCUCAUCGCGGGAGUCAGGGUCCCCUCGUAGCCUGGCCAGCCCCCAGUGGAGAAACCCAUGUCCCAGCAGGUCUCGCAGUGGCAGAUCAUGACAGAUCUGAGCCUAUAGAGUGCUGUGGUGCUCGAGGGGAGGAGACAAUAGAGGGUAUGCUCAUGAUUUGUUUGUUCCUUUGUAGUUUUGCAUAGUUUUCAC